rnacentral:rRNA from 1 species
GUAGGUGGCAAGCGUUGUCCGGAAUUAUUGGGCGUAAAGCGCGCGCAGGUGGGUUCUUUAAGUCUGAUGUGAAAGCCCCCGGGCUCAACCGGGGAGGGUCAUUGGAAACUGGGGAACUUGAGUGCAGGAGGGGAAAGUGGAAUUCCACGUGUAGCGGUGAAAUGCGUAGAUAUGUGGAGGAACACCAGUGGCGAAGGCGACUUUCUGGCCUGUAACUGACACUGAGGCGCGAAAGCGUGGGGAGCAAACAGGAUUAGAUACCCUGGUAGUCCACGCCGUAAACGAUGAGUGCUAAGUGUUGGGGGGUUUCCGCCCCUCAGUGCUGCAGCUAACGCAUUAAGCACUCCGCCUGGGGAGUACGGUCGCAAAGACUG